CAGUCAGUUACAGAGCAGUUAUGAUAAACUGAGUAAAAACCACAGUCAGCUACAGGAAGAAGUGAAGAAGCUGAAGGAGAAGAUAGAAGGUAAUAAAGUUUGAAUAACUAAUAGAAAACAUCAGUGUUACACAGUGAUAACCUGAUUGUGUCUUUAUUUUGAAUCCUAAAUGUUUGAUGCUGUGUAACAGUUUUUCUGUAUAAAUGUAAGUUUCAGUUAAUUAUGAAUAAGAGAGAAAACCUGAGUUUAAAUGAAGGAUUUACAGGGAAAAUGACAGGAACCAAAGAUUUUUGACUAAAGACUGAAAUCAGAGAUCUUAUUAAUGUGAUACAACAUGACACAAAGUCUGUCUUUAAAACAUGUGUUUGACUUUAAGAGAAGUGUCCUGAUCGAUGGACGAGAUUUGGAAGCAGCUGUUACUUUAAAUCCCAUGAGAGGAAAACUUGGUCUGACAGCAGGAGAGACUGUCAGGAUAAAGGAGCUGAUCUGGUGAUGAUAAACAGCAAAGAGGAACAGGAAUUUAUCAAUGAACUGAACAUGAGAGGAGAGUCCUGGAUUGGUCUGAGAGCCAAACAGACAUCAGGAGGAUAUAAAUGGGAAUGGGUGGACGGAUCAGCUGUGAAUGAAACGUUCUGGGCAGAAGGAUAUGAGAUUCCCAGUUAUGGUUACUAUGGAGUCUGCUGUGACAGUGAUGGGAGAUGGACACAGUCACCUGGAUAUAAUUUUGGUGAUCGUGUUUCAAAGACCUUCAUCUGUGAGAAAUGAGUUUUGGUGCUUUGAUGUAAAUGUUUGAAUAAUCCAACCAAAGACACCUCACUAUGAAAUGUCCUGCAUGAGCCUCAGACUCAGCUCACAGUUGUUACUUGUUCAUUCUGCAUCAUAUAUUGAUUACAUAUAUUGUCCCUCUGUGCUCUGUGCUGUACAGUAAGGUUGGAAGUCA
ensembl:lncRNA